AGAGUUUGAUCAUGGCUCAGAUUGAACGCUGGCGGCGUGCCUAACACAUGCAAGUCGAGCGGUAACAGGCGUAGCAAUACGUGCUGACGAGCGGCAAACGGGUGAGUAACGCUUCGGAAUCUGCCCAAUGGUGGGGAAUAACCAGCCGAAAGGUUGGCUAAUACCGCAUGAGCCCUUCGGGGGAAAGCGGGGGAUCGCAAGACCUCGCGCCGAUGGAUGAGCCGAAGCCGGAUUAGCUAGUUGGUAGGGUAACGGCCUACCAAGGCGACGAUCCGUAGCUGGUCUGAGAGGACGACCAGCCACACUGGGACUGAGACACGGCCCAGACUCCUACGGGAGGCAGCAGUGGGGAAUAUUGGACAAUGGGGGAAACCCUGAUCCAGCGACGCCGCGUGUGUGAAGAAGGCCUGCGGGUUGUAAAGCACUUUUAGUGGGGAUGAAAAGCUCAGGGCUAACACCUCUGGGUCUUGACCUAACCCACAGAAAAAGCACCGGCUAACUCUGUGCCAGCAGCCGCGGUAAUACAGAGGGUGCAAGCGUUAAUCGGAAUUACUGGGCGUAAAGCGUACGUAGACGGUUGGAUAAGUCGGAUGUGAAAGCCCCGGGCUCAACCUGGGAAUGGCAUUCGAGACUGUGCAGCUAGGGUGCGGAAGAGGGAAGCGGAAUUUCCGGUGUAGCGGUGAAAUGCGUAGAUAUCGGAAGGAACACCAGUGGCGAAAGCGGCUUCCUGGUCCAGCACCGACGUUCAGGUACGAAAGCAUGGGGAGCAAACAGGAUUAGAUACCCCCGUAGUCC
rnacentral:rRNA from 1 species